UACGGAGGGGGCUAGCGUUGUUCGGAAUUACUGGGCGUAAAGCGCACGUAGGCGGCUAUUCAAGUCAGAGGUGAAAGCCCGGGGCUCAACCCCGGAACUGCCUUUGAAACUAGAUAGCUUGAAUCACGGAGAGGUGGGUGGAAUUCCGAGUGUAGAGGUGAAAUUCGUAGAUAUUCGGAAGAACACCAGUGGCGAAGGCGGCCCACUGGACGUGUAUUGACGCUGAGGUGCGAAAGCGUGGGAGCAAACAGG
rnacentral:rRNA from 1 species